rnacentral:RNase_P_RNA from 1 species
CAAGUAGGCAAGGCAAUUACUCUCGGAGUUUUUCCGGGGGAGGAAAGUCCGAACACCUUCCAGAAAAAUUUCUGGGAACGUUCCGGGUAACACCCGGCCACCGUGAGGUGAGAGGUGCGAAAAGUGACGUUGGAGCCGAAAGGCGAAAACAUCCAAGACCUUCUUGGAUGAGUCUUGGGGAAACUCAAGAGUGAUACGGCUAAAUCCUGACGAGGUGCAAGAACAAAGCUCAAUUACUUUUUACGAAAAGUUAAUUGAGUUAAAAGUAGUUCGCUUGAGCCUUGAGGUAACUCAAGGCCUAGAUAGAUGAUUGCUUUACCCUGUUAAAUGCUGCUUUGCAGCAAUUUCGCCAGAGGCGAAAUUAUUUAACAGGGCGAGACAGAAUUCGGCUUAUUGCCUGCUUGCCCC